rnacentral:lncRNA from 1 species
UUCUUUGCUGAGUUCUAGCCCAACAAGCCAUCUGACUUGAAGACUAAGACGAGCCUGCCACCUGGGCAAGCACAGGGACAAUGAUCCCAGGGCAGAGGCCAGCUCUGCUGUUUUGAGAAGUGUCUAGGCAAAAGCUUUCUUUCUUUUUUUUUUUUUUUCAGACCAAAAGGGGCCUCUUUAAUGUCACACACCAUUAGUGCCACCAGGUGGCGAGGUUCCCUUAAUUUCUUCAGUAUCAAGUCUUUUAAAAGUGUAUGAGUAUAAACAUCUUCAAAUUCUCGGGUUUAAAAACAAAAUCAAAAAUGAAAAAAGGUCGCUUACCUUUAGACCAUAGGCAACUGGAGCUAAAGACAAGAGAUAAGCUGGUGUACCCCGAUGGAGCAGCAGGCUUUAACUGAAUCUGUGAGGAACAGGGUGGGGCUUCACAUGGUAAAACUGAAUCUGAGGUGUGUUCUUUUGCCUGUUUGGGUUGUUGCUGUUGUUACUGCUUUGUUUUGUUUUUUUGUUUUUAAGUGAAACAGAAUUUAAGUCUUUUGGAAGACUUUUGUAAAUUCUCUUGGUCCCAAGGGAGGGCUCUGUGACGUCUGGAGUCUCAACAGUUUGGUCUUUGCCCUGUCUCCUGUUAUUAUAGACUGUGGCCUUUGCCACUCCAUCACUGCCUACUGUUUUUCUUGGAGACAGGGUCUCUCCCAUUACGGGCAGCCAGCAGUGCCCUGAGAGUCUCUUGACAUGUGGCCAUGAAGGCUUUUUACAAGGAUGCUGGGGAUUUGAACCCGGGUUCUCAUGCUUGAGCCAUAACUGCUCUUACCCUAGAACUGUCUCCCCAGUCCAAUCACUGCUACUAUUUUUUUUUCUUGGCAAAUCAAUUCAGUUCUUUAGUUUUCUUUCAAGUAUUGUUUUACCUAUUUAUCAUAUUUAUCACUUUCAUUAUCAAUGUUAGAAAUUUUGUUUAGCCAGCCUUUUUACUUAUUCUUGAAAUAAAGGGUUAAAUAGAUAUUUUUUCAGUUGUGAGACAUGAAAAUCUUAGAAAGAAUUUUUCUUUUCUUUUUCCUUUCAUUUUAAUAGCAGUGAAUCUAGAAAGAGAAUUAUUUUUCAUGGUGAUUAUUUCAAAUGUAUUGAUACCAUUUUGUGGGCUGGGAAAUGUUAAACUUUGUAAACUCUGAAACGCACAAAGUGUUGCUUUGAAUUUCACCUUAAUAAAAAUAACAUCAAGU